UGUGUCUCAGCCAUGUGGACACAGCAGACAAACUUCUUCUUUUUGGCCACAGUCUCUUGUGUGUCAGCUGCUGCAGGUGGUCAGAUCAGAUUAGCUGGGUCUGGGUCGACUCGCUGCUCUGGAAGAGUUUAAAUCUAUCACAGUGGCUCCUGUGGAACAAUCUGUGACGAUGCCUGGGACUUAACUGAUGCUGAGGUGGUCUGCAGACAGUUAGACUGUGGAACAGCACUGAGAGCCACUACAAAAGCUCACUUUGGUGAAGGAACUGGGCCGAUCUGGCUUCAUUAUUUGGGCUGUGCAGGAACUGAAACGUCUCUACGUAAGUGCGAUCAUGGAGGCUUUCAGUAACAAGACUGUGGACAUCAUGAGGACGCUGGUGUCAUCUGUUUAGGUGAGAGAUGUUUGGAUUACGCACGGUGUGUCAGAUACUGUAAACACAUGUUUUUGGCUGCACUGUACAUUAAACAAAUCUGUUUUAUCAUCCAGCAGUUCAGGUAUGAAAUGUUUCCUAUUCAAUAUGAAUGCAGCUGUAAUCCACAGAGAAAAACAUCCACUGUUCUCUAAGCUAUAAAACUGAAAACAACUUUGUCCACACAGCUAUGUUAUAAUUAUGUGACACCCGUCUCUACUGAGAGGGGCCCUGGGUUCCUGUUGUUACUUAGUGCUGAUUCCCCCUUUCUGAUGCUUGUGAAAUGAAAUAUGCACUAAACUACACUAUAUGGAAACAAACCACACACUAGCAGGUUAAUAAAGUUAACACUGCUUUAGUGACUGAUUAGUUCCAAAAACACAAAAGAAAAGAAGUAAAAUUGAUAAAGUUGGUUGAGCAAUGGUAAAGUAUUUAACAUCAACUGAAACCAAAUAAUUAAAUAACAGUGUGGGCCCACUCUGUCACGGCUGUGGCAGCAGUCGUGUGGUGUAGUGAAGGAAGGACCCAAACUGCACUGGCUGUGAUGCGAGUGAGCUUUAUUACAGAAGGUGAACACAACAAAGUGAGGGCAAAACUAAAACACAACCUAAACUGGGAACAACUGAAGAACAAACCUGGAACCACAGAAACACGGGAUGAAGAGCAAAAAUGGCACGGAGAAUGUUGGGCAGAGAGACGCAGAAAUUACACAUCAUC